GCACUUGUGGUUCAGUGGUUGAAUGCUCGCCCUCCGUGCGAGAGAACCGGGUUCGAAUCCCGGCAAGUGCG